GGUGACCCCAGCAGACAAAGGGAAAUUCCAGACCAUGUGACAUCAUUGUAUAUCAGUAUAUAAAGCGGGGGGAAGAAGGAAGAAAUAUAAGAACAUUUCUAGUGGUGAUAUUUGCUUUUCUAAGCCACUGUUACCUGUGAUGGGGCCCCGCUCUCCUGAAGAUGGCUGAACACCUCCCUGCCAUGGGAAGAAAUCACAUGUUGUUGAUCACCUUCAAAUCAGAUUUACAAUGAAGAAAACACAAGAAAAGUUAUUGUGCAGCUGUCAUUGUGGCCAGACAAGAGGGUGAGAAUACCUGAGAGGAGCAGCUCUGCAGACACCAAGCCCUUGCAGAUCCACAGGGAUGCAGAGAUCCACCUGCAGCACCUGGAGGAGCCCCACUCUGGAGCAGUGAUGGUGUGAACUAUUUAAUUAAGAGCAAGAAAGCCAAACAAGACAGGGUGGAAAAAGGAACUUUAAUUCACUAUCAAUGUUACCUUUGCCAGAGGGAUGGAAAUGAUUAUGUGAGUGCCAGGUUAUUUUCUUUUAUGUUUUUCUUUGAAAUAACUAAAAAUAGAUUUUUACAAUAGUUUAGGAACCUAAAUAUAAGAGUACAUUUUAGAAAAUCUGUGUAUCAAGAGAAUAGCUUGAAAAUCUCUGUCUGCCUUCAGAGGGGUCCCAGGAAAGUAGAGAUUUUUUGUAAUGUCCUGAAGAUUGUUUUAUUGGUAUUCAAUCUGAAACAUAAUGAUACAUUUUAUCUUAAUUGUGAUUGGAAACAAUAAUCAAAGAUUCUAAAUCAAAUAUCAUUGCUAAUAAUUGCAAGUUAAGAAUCUAGGCUACAAACUUGCAACAUACAUGGAAGUAACAUUUAUUUUUCUGCAAACAUAUGUUGUUCAAAUCACACAAUUUUAUUCACAUUGUAGAGCUUUGUAUGAGAGUGGAAGAUAAAAUCUUUGUAAGAAUGUUUAAUCCAGCUCAUUUUAGGAGAAGAAUCACUUAAAAAUUGAGAUUUUUAGACAAAAAAGGCAAGUUCUGGUAUAAUAAGAGAAUUUCACAGAAUUUUUCUUCCUUCCUCUUGGAAAAAAAGUGGCAGCGUAAUUUACAAUACUUAUACCUUCAAAAUGCAUGCUGUAUUGUAAUUGUAUGUAUAAGAUGACUUCACUUCUCAGAAUCACACUCCCUAUGCUCCCCUCUCUGAUGCAAAUGUAAACACUGUUAUAUGAUGCCAAAUUAAGCAACAAUAUACUGAGUUUCUUCACAGCUUUUUAAGGUGAUAUCAACUUUUAAAUCUUAUUCAAAAAGCAUUAUACAAAUUUAAAAGAUACUGAAAAGGUUUCUGGUUACAACACAGUAUCUCAGCCUCUGCUAUGAUGAUGCUAAAUGAAAAUUUAAAUUUCUGAAAAAUAAUUAUCUAAAUAACAUUUUAAAAUAUUCCUUUGUUUUCCCCCUUAGUAACACAUUCUAAAUCUAUAGACAAGAUAGAUGGGCAAACAUGAAAUCACCAUUUUUCUUCCCAUUUGUUUCACUUUCUACACCUGAACUCUUCUUCACUAGUCUGCUGCUUGCUGCACUGAUUUAUUGAGUCACAAUUGACAAUAUUGUCCAGGUUACAGCUGAUGUAAGAGAAAAAGCAAUAAAUCUAUGAGAUAGCCAGAAGAUAAAACAUGUGAGGAAGCAACAGUCUGAGACCCCUUCUGGACACCUUGCUUAAUAAGAGCAAACAUUAAAUGAGAGAAUUUAAUGUGCCUGUAGGAGCUGCCUUUUUAACGGUGACUUGAAUGUUAAAACAGCCAACAAAGUAACCCAAAUUUAGUUAUAAAUUUCCUUCAAGUGUUUAGAUGAUGACAAAAGCAGAAUCUAGACUGCAAGUAAUCUGAAAUAAAAGAAAAUUGAAUUAGCUAACUAUUUUAUUAUGUUAAUUGAAAACUUAAGACAGUUGUUUGAAAACCCUGGUUUUCAUUCCUGUUCUUUCCAGUAAUGUCUUGAAGAAACAUAGAAAAUAAAAUUGAAAUUUUUUUUUGCAUUGUA